ACUCCUACGGGAGGCAGCAGUGGGGAAUAUUGGACAAUGGGCGAAAGCCUGAUCCAGCCAUACCGCGUGGGUGAAGAAGGCCUUCGGGUUGUAAAGCCCUUUUGUUGGGAAAGAAAUCCAGCCGGCUAAUACCUGGUUGGGAUGACGGUACCCAAAGAAUAAGCACCGGCUAACUUCGUGCCAGCAGCCGCGGUAAU
rnacentral:rRNA from 1 species